CAAUAUCAAAACUUAAAACAAGAAGUAGAGAAAUAUGGGUUUCACCGAAAACCAAGAGGCUUUAGUUAAUAGCUCAUGGGAAGCAUUUAAACAAAACCUUCCUAAAUACAGUGUUUUGUUCUACACUAUGUAAGUUUUACCUAUUUUGAGUGUUUUUAACUUGUAUUUUCCCUUUUUGUUGAUUGUCGAGAACAAAUUAACAAUAAUUUUAUUGUUGUUUUUAUUAAAAUAGUAUAUUAGACAAAGCACCUGCAGCAAAGGGCAUGUUCUCUUUUCUUAAGGAUUCAGCUGGAGUACAAGAUAGUCCUAAACUCCAAGCCCACGCUGAAAAAGUUUUUGGAAUGGUG
rnacentral:lncRNA from 1 species